UACGUAGGGUGCAAGCGUUGUCCGGAAUUAUUGGGCGUAAAGAGCUCGUAGGCGGUUUGUCGCGUCGGCUGUGAAAACCCGAGGCUCAACCUCGGGCCUGCAGUCGAUACGGGCAAACUAGAGUGCGGUAGGGGAGACUGGAAUUCCUGGUGUAGCGGUGAAAUGCGCAGAUAUCAGGAGGAACACCGGUGGCGAAGGCGGGUCUCUGGGCCGAUACUGACGCUGAGGAGCGAAAGCGUGGGGAGCGAACAGG
rnacentral:rRNA from 1 species